rnacentral:rRNA from 1 species
AUACGGAGGAUCCGAGCGUUAUCCGGAUUUAUUGGGUUUAAAGGGUGCGCAGGCGGCCAUUUAAGUCAGCGGUUAAAUCGUGGGGCUCAACCCCAUUCUGCCGUUGAUACUGGGUGGCUUGAUUGCGGUCGAGGUUGGCGGAAUUCGUUGUGUAGCGGUGAAAUGCAUAGAUAUGACGAAGAACACCGAUUGCGUAGGCAGCUGACCAGACCGCAAAUGGCGCGCAUGCACGAAAGUGCGGGGAUCGAACAGGAUUAGAUACCCUGGUAGUCCGCACAGUAAACGAUGAAUACUUGUUUUCGGCGAUAUAAUGUCGGAGGCAAAGCGAAAGCGAUAAGUAUUCCACCUGGGGAGUACGCCGGCAACGGUGAAACUCAAAUGAAUUGGCGGGG